GGCGGAGGGGGGUUGAUAGUGGUGGACCUUUGCAAUUUCUGCAUCACUUUUUCAGUUCCCUGGGACAGUUUGUGCUCUAAGAAUAAUGAGGGAUUUUUAAUACUUUUUGCUUCCUAGAAACAAUCUCCUUUAUAAGGCACAAUGGAUAUUUUUUACUCCCCACCCCUCCUUUGGAACAAUCUUAUCCUAAAAAGUGGGAGCUAGCCUAUGCAUUUGCCCUUAGGUUUCUAGCAGCUCUGGAAGAAAUAGUUAAAGGACUUUGGAGUUGAUGGUGACACCUGGGAGGGCAAGACGAAGACUGUCAAACAGGGAGUGGAGGUCCACAUUGUUACAGCACAGAACCGAGAGCACUACACUAACCACUGAACUCCUGCCCACAAGUGCCAUUGCUCCAAAGAGAAGUGGCCCCUUCCUUGUGAUGCAUAGACCUGCAAGUCCCAGCAGAGCUUUUACACCAGCCUGGCAGAGUGGCGGGCCGUGGGGUCUUGGAGACCCCUGGGCCCAGGAAGAUGUCUGGUUGGUCCAUCUUUAAGCUAAGUAGGGAAAAGGGCUAAACCCUUCUGUGAUUCUGCUUCUCCUGAUUGUGACCAGAAGCAUGAGGGAUGUGAAACAUUCCCUACAAGGGACACUUGGCUGAAUCAGUUACUGACCCAUUGGCUUGGUGAGUGAAAACCCCUGAUGGGAAGAACUCACUCAUAGUGGCUGCACUGGAAAAACUAUAUACCUCAAAUGCCUUUUAAAUCCUGUGAUGCACCCUUCUUUUAGGGCUUCCCCUAUGGAGUCAUUCCUGAUUUAGUCAUUUGCAGCAUAAUUAAUUAUUCAUUGCCAAAGGCCAUCAACAUUAAUAUCAGCUUUAAGAUGGCUACAGUGCUCUUGAAAAUUGUGAACCAUUGAUGCCGUUAAAUCAAGUGGGAAGCCCAGAGGUUGCAAGAAAAUAGAGGCCACUUGACUUAUAAAAUGUUAAGGGAACAAUAUAUAAAUCUAAAAUUAAAAGUCUUUGGUUAACCUAACAUGCCUGAGGUCCUGGGUUUGGUUCCCAGCACACGAGAAAAACAGAGAAACAAACAAACAACUUUGGUUAAUGUAGAAGAGACCUUAAUAAAAUUACUCAUUAAAUCUAUUAGCUAGGUAUUUAAAUAUUUAUAUUAGUGAGGGAUCCAAACUUUAAUUAUUGCCAUGACCCAUUUUUAUUUCAAAAUUUACAUAAUGAAGCAAGAGUUCUUCAUCAGAGGGCCUGUUUCCAGAAUUGGCAUCAGUAAAGGCAAACAUUAAGAUUACACUGGAUAGAACCCCCAGAGGAUAAAGAUGUUCACUGGGUGCACUUACUCUCAUUGACUGAUGGUGACUUUCUGGAGCCCUAGGUACACAAGGGUCAUUGAAGCAAGUCCAUGGUCAGUGGAAAAGGGUGUGUGUGAUUGAGAAGCUUGGGAGAAGGCAACCCUGGCAGCACCAGUGUUGCCCUAUUUGCCAACCUACCAAAUUUCUGCAGUUACUAUUAGCCUCAAAGAUAUAUUAAGUAAUGUUCAAUCUCAAUUAGAUGUAAGACAUAUGCUUCAUGACAAGAAAAUGGACAAAGUCAAGAUCAGAGACUACUUCCUUCAUUGACUGGCCUACAAUGCCAGGGCCUUGGAAUUGCUUUCUGAAAGGCUUAACAGUGACAAAAUAGAAUGUUGUUUAAAAAAUAAAUAAAAUGAGCAGUUAACCAGA
rnacentral:lncRNA from 1 species